ACAUCUUACGCGAAAAACUCACAGCAGAAAGCAUCACGAGAACUCCCCAAACGGUUUUGCAUUUUCUGGAGAGGGAGGUUAAACUAUGGAAAUUAUUAGCAAUUUUUCUCAAUCAGAUGAGCCACUGCUACAUUCCUCUCCAACUUGUUGUUGCUAUACUAAGGUAGUAUAUUUGGAAGACUGCCCUCCAAAAAAGUAGUCUUCUUUGCAUGAUAUGCUGAUUGGAUACUAACUUGAGAAAGGAAGCGCCAUCAUGAGUUGGUAUUGUAUGUGCAAGCAGGGUGAAGGAAGACACUAACGUGAGCUCGGAUCGGACUAUAGAGUUUAAGGUGUUUCCUAUUUAAUUCUUAAACAGUUGCAGAGAUCCUGUUGAGAGGUUGAGAAUGGUGAGUGAGGAGGAAAAUGUGAAGGCUAGCGCCUUAAUGCAUUUUUUAAAUAAUACAUUGAUAUGACGAGGUUCUCAUUGCAUCUAUCAAGCUGGUCUGGAAAGUGCAUUUUUGCUAGGCAGAAGCCAAGGCUUGACUUCGAAGAAGCGACUAGACUAGGAUUACCUGGGGCCACAAUACUGCUUAAUGGAGGAUGGAUCUGAUGAUUUCAGCAUUGCUUAUGCAAUAUUCAUGUGAUUUUGUGUAUGCACAGCCAUGGAAACCUACAAUGAUAUGCAUCUGUUUUCAAGAGUUGUUUUCAGUCUUUCAGAACUGGAUAAUGAUGAGGAAUUAGGUAAACACAAUGGAAUGUGCUAGGGCUGUAGCAAACACUUCCCGAUAAUAUUUCCGAAGCCAAAAUUGGUUAUUGUGGUUGUUAAUGGAAAUAACAAAAUUCAUGUAGGAUUUGCAAAGAAGUACUCUCAGGUUUGGCCUCUAUUGACCCUUUUACAAUAUGCCUCCUAAUCCUUUUGUAUCCCACACCAUGUGCUGAUUGAGUUUUACUGUAUUGUGGUUAUUUCUUGAGAAAUUCUGGAACGUUUGGUUGUUAAAACCCUUCUAGGUUUUCACCAUAUUUAUUUUACCCUUGAACACAUAUUGCUUCAUCUAUUUGAAGAUGAAUUUCAGAUUUAAAUUUUUUAGCUUUCCUGGAGACAAACUUUUUGGCUGGGUGAUUAGCUUAAAGUUAAAGAACAUAUAGUUCUACUUUAAAACAAGUUGCAUCCCAAUGUGGGUGAGUCUUUCCCGAGCAAUGCUAGAUGUUGGUAAAUGUAAAAGGUGAGUCUAAUUUUGGCUGACGGAAUUACAAAAAAGGUGAAAGGCUGUGACACAGGUUGUAUCGAAAGCAGUGAUCUUUGCUAAUACUUUAGGUUGUAGGCUCUCUUGUGGCUGUUAUUCAUUUACAUGCUGUGGCAACUCAUACAAGCAAUUUAAUAAACGAAAUAACUACUAUAUAAACGAACUUUUUGUAUUCCGAAUGAAAUGUAUAAGCAGACCUUUAUAUUACAGUCUCUAUUUCAAAGUCUGCACUCUAACAACAUAACGUAUUAUCUGGUGUUGGAUGAUCAUUCAAGAGAACUCCCACAAUGUAAUGUCUUUUUUCUUUGGGCAUUAAGUCUUUGAUGGCUGUGAUUUUCUCCGAAGUUGAUAUUGCUGGCAAUGAAUUCAGCUUCUUUACUGAAAGGUACUUGGAUCCACACAUCUCGAGAAUAGGCUCUUGAUCUCAAGGUUUUAGAAAUCAAGGAUCAAUCACUUCAGGGUGCAGGGGUUUAUGAAACCUGAAGCUAUAUUUCUUAUAGAGGGAUCGACAUGGGCUUCUAUUAGAGUUGGACUUAAGAUCCUUGGUGCAAGAACUGGAGAUCAAGUUUGAAUUAUAAUAGUCACUAAUUCUUUGUGUAUUAUUUCAGCUGUUUUAGGCUCCUUCACCUCACUGCCCUUUUUCCUUGGCCUUUUCUGAAUUUAAACAGAACUUUAGAUAAACAAAUGAUAGAAGAAGGUUUAAUCAUUGAACUGUGUGCUAUUGAUAUUUUAUACAAGAAGCCUAGUAUCUACGUCAAUAUGCUUCAUACAGAUAAGUGAAUUAUUUCAUUGAAGUCCUCUUAUAUAAUUUCAAUUUUUACUAGCUAAAAGCACUCUCAAUGGUUGAGUAUCUGGUCCACACUUGUGAAUCAAAUGAGACUGAAUAAUCUGAAUUGUCUUUACUAGCCAGUAUUGUUGUUUGGAAAAAAUAAUGUACUAAAGUUAUUUUGAUAAGUAGUAUUUAUGACAUGAUGUCAGCAGAUGCACAAAUUUCAUGAAUUACGAUGAGUAGAUGGCUAAAAAAGAUGUCAAUGAUGAAAGGGAAGAUCCUGCUUCUUGUAUUGGAAGUCACCUGUAUUUUGCCAGUUAAUUAUAGAGACUUCCGUUAAUAUGAAAAGCACCGACCUUUGCUGCUACGCGUUGGUUUUAAUACAAGAGAGGAAAAAAUGAAAACCUUCUUCAGGUUUAAAGUUAAGUUUUGACAUGCAGAUGCACAUGUUGAGAGGUAGUACUUCCUUUAAGAUUUUCCUUUGACAGCGAUCUCAUCUCAGAUCAAGACCCUGUAGCCCUUGUUCAAGAGAUUAUACAUCAAUGAAGCUAAUAUAUAUGUCUGCUAUAUAUGAUACUUCAUACUUCUGUCAUCCCUUCAUAUAUUUUUUUCACCACUCACUAAGUUGCCUUCUCUUUAUCUAUACUUUUUUUUUCUUUAUUUACAUUUUCAAUAGAACACAAUUGAAGCAAAGAAUCCAUGCAGGCAAUACGAACUAGUUGGGAUUCAGGCCUAGUUGUCAUUUUAGAUUAGGCCUGGGUAGGGAUAAUUGUAAGACUUAGAGAAUUACUAGUUUCAUAGAACCCCUAAUUUGUCUUAGAAGACAAACAUCAUGUCUUGUUACGUACCGAUAUUGGGAUCAAUUAGGUCCUGAUAGAGUUAUAUAGAGGAUUCAUAUCGGCUACUCCAUCUAGGUUGGGAUUGAGACAUAGUAGCUUGAUUGAUUGAUUUAUCCUUUCUUUUUUCUUUUUAAUUCAAGCUAUAAUUUGAUCUGUCUUCUCCUCUAUUUUUCUUCAUCCUGUUGCUCAGUUUUCCUUCUCAAAAGCUCCUGUACCUCCAGUUAUGAAUAACUUCAGGAUAUUCGAGAUUCUGGCCCUUAUCACUGCUAUAGCACUGCUUGUUUAAGGUUGCUACUUUAUAUAUUGACCCACUUCAAGUGAUAUUAAAGCAGUAUUCUAUUUGUAGACUUCCAAAGCUGCAUCCUUGCUAUAACAUUAGGGAUGUGUUAAUAGGUUGUCAUCUGUUUCUGUCAGCAUUCGUGUUGGUGGUGUUGCCUGUUGAUGGAACAUUAUGUUUGUGUAAGGAUAUUCCAAAGCCCUUGAUUGGUUGAGUUCUUAAAUGGGCGAGGAGGUUCAGAACCAUGAAAUUUCUGGGGCAAUAGGAUAAGUCGAUGAUCGAUUAGCUCACUUGGGUCCUAUGAAUCUAAAAUUGCUUACUUUAAUGACACUAGUGAUGUUCCCAAUAUACAUAAGUAGUAAGUUCUUUUGCUUAACCAUUUGUCGAAGUCCAUCUUACAUAAACUCUUCAUUUGCCUUGAUAUACACAUUUGUGCCAAACAGGUGUAACAUGGGUAUAGGUACUUCAUAUCGAUCCUUCGAGAUACACUAAAAGUUUGCUAAAUGUUUAACUUAUCCAACCAAAUACUUACUUGUACAUACUCAUAUCAUGCAACAUAGUUUUAAGCCUAUGUUCUCUAAUGUUCAGUUUCCUAGUUUGUGGAGCAGGGACAGCCACAAAAUGUUACCUCACCUAAAAUGUGUAUCUAAGUUGUGGGCUUCUGCAUCAAGCACUAUAAGAAACCUCAAAAGGUAGUGUCUUAGGAGCAUAAUGACACAAUUUAUGAUGUUUAGCACACGAAAAUAUUAGUAGCGACAUUUGUAGAAAAGAAAAAGAUAAUUAGUAAUAACUUUAUGAAAAUAUUUGUCACAGGCUUUUUUAAUUCACGAAUCAUUAGAGGGUCCACCUUCAGUGAACACUCAUUUACGGGACUGAUAACAGUGACUGAAGCCUUGGGGCAUGAUUAAGUCCAAGACUUGUUCAUCUGAUCAAAGUUGUAUAACCGGAGUUAGAAUUGGAAAAUGAAUGUUGAUGGAAUCAGUUUGGAUUGUUGCAUUUCUGUGGAAGUACCUUUGCUUGUCACAGUUCUAUGGAGAUUUUAUGCAGAAGUAAUCAGCCUUUGGCUGUUCAGUUUUGAGUUUUCAAGAAUCAAGACAGGUAUCUCGGUUGUGUUUCUUCUGAAUGAUCAUACUACGACGGCAGCGGAAGUUAGAGUGCUUACUAGUUCAUGACUCAAUUAAUAAUCUAGUUGUAUUAGGAUUUGUCUUUUAAUAUGGUGUAGAUGGAGAACAUGAAAAGAUGUCGUCCCCCUAUUUAGUAGGGUAAGCUUAUUGAGGUUUCACUUUACUUUACCUUAUAAUAAUAAAAGUUUAUUGAGGUUUCAGUAUCUUUGCUUUAGGGUCCCGAUGUUCAAGACAUUCUGCUAUAUGGUGUGGGGCUAGCUAGGAAUGAGAGCUUGGAAUUACAUGGUGCCAACCACCUUAGUUGCUCUCUAGUCGCCAUCACCUAAAGGCUGAAGGAAACCCUCAUUGGAAUUACCUCUUUAGAUAGCUAAAAGGGCAGCUUCCAGGAACGAAAUUAAUCAUAUUCUUGAGAGUACAAUCAUCUUUCUUGCACAUUUGCAUUAUGUACCUUUUGCAUGUGACUUAUCCCUUUAUGUUGAUUGGAGGUUAGACAUCAAAGAUGAAGGAUACAUAAACUAGAAAAUUGAGUAUGGUUGGGUUAGACAUAGCAGCUCAAGUGGAAAGAUGUGUAUUUUUUUUAAUUGGCAUUUUAUUUUUGUACAUAAAGUGUCAUGAUGUUGACUCAGUGCAUUACAAGAAGAAUUAGGACAUACCAAAGACAAGAAAUUUAAGUGCUUGUUUGAGGUGUACGUCAGUUUUGUAUGGUUUUCUUAAGAAUUGAAGAAGGAGCGGAGGGCCCUAAAAGGUUCUUACUCUCAAAAGAUGUGUGAAUGCACAAAAUUGAGAUACAAGAUUGACAUAAGUGCCUUGUAGAGUGGCAAACAAAUCUUUGUAUUUUUCUGUGUCUUUUAAAUUCAAAAUAUAAUUGAAAUUUGUUUGCAGAGAUGAGGAAGGGGGCUUGAACUAGCACCAGCAUAAACGCAGUCCUCCAACCGUUACAGGGAAGGAUGGGGACAGGACAUCCAAAUGGGACAUGGAAAUCUAUAUAGCAAUCAAGGUUGCAGUAUAUGCUAACUAAUGCAUCACUCCUUCUGCCCUUAACAAGACAUUCAUUUCCCUAUUGGAGUACUAAGCUUUACUUACUUCCACUUGGACAAAAAAUAAAAAUAUAAAAAGAGAAAACGAUAACCACCUUUUUAUAGUUGGCCGCCAACUUUUGAAAUAGAAUUGAAAAUUUUUAUGACAAAAAGAUGAGCUCAAAUUUGGAAAUCCUUGAUAGUGGGAAAACUGAAAAGUUGGUGAUGUGCAUGAUGUAUCAAUUACGUCUCAAUUUCAUACUAAUUGAGAUUGUUUAUAUGAAUUAUUUAUUUUCAAUAUAUUCUAUUUGGACCAGUCUUGAUCUAAUAUGAUAACAUAAUGUAGUUUAAGGUAUAUGUUCUUAAUGUUACACUUAUUUCUUACAAUGGGACACAAUCUCAACAAGACUCAGAAGAAUUCAGACGAUAAUCCUAAUUAGUUAGUAUUACUUAUGUGGAUUCUUUGUUUCCAUUGUGAUGUUUUCAGAUUAAUUUGCUUUGAUUUUGAAAGAUUGUAACUCUUUUGAGACAAUUCUUCUAUUUGAUUUUAGGUCUACCUCUUUCUUUUUAGCACACUUAAUUAUGUUGUAUCGUACCUAUGAACUGAUUUAUUUUGAGUUCGAUGUAGAAAUCACAGUUCAUAACAAGCAACUUUCUCUUAUUUUAUAUCUGUGUGCAAGCUUUAUACCCUUGUCUAAGUGAUCAUGUUUAUU